rnacentral:rRNA from 1 species
GAGAUUCCCCUAGUAGCGGCGAGCGAACGGGGAAGUGCCCAUCGCUCAAUCCGACGCCUCCCUGGGCGUUCCGGAUAUUUGGCGUAUGGGAGAGACGCUUUCGGAAUCCCACUCCGGUGCAAGUCCCCCUGACUGGGGCUCAUGCCCCGAGAGGGUGCAAGGCCCGUAGCGGCCGGAAGUGGGUUCCGGAUGUCCUCUCCUGGGAGUCGGGUUGCUUGAGAGUGCAGCCCUAAUCUGGUGGUAAACUCCAUCUAAGGCUAAAUACGACCCCGAGACCGAUAGCGAACAAGUACCGUGAGGGAAAGUUGAAAAGGACUUUGAAGAGAGAGUUCAAGAGUACGUGAAACCGUUCGGAGGUAAACGAGUGGGCCCUCGAAGGAAGGCGACGGGAGGACUCAGCCGCAGGCGACCGAGUGGCUCGCGCGAUUCGCUUCCCCAAAAGGACGAUUCGCGCGGGCGGGGCGAGUCUCGGUGCCGGCGGCGCAUUUCCUCUCGUCCUCUGACGCUGCGACCGGUCGGGUGCGCUAAAAGCAGUCGGCUUUACUCGCGGGGAUCGGCAGGUUGCCGGGGACGGCGUCUCGAACGUCGUCCCGGUGUUUAUAGCCACCCCGCAGUCGCGGCCGUUCACCCGACCGAAGGACUAGGCCCUCAGGGGCCCUGCCCGCGUCCUCCCGCGGUGAAGGGAGCGUUUUUUGCCGACAGGGACGUCUCCGUACUACGCGUCGUUUCACCGAAAGGUGUCCGGCGGGCGGAGGCGCUCGGUGGUCGGCGAACUCGGCGCGCGGACGCAGGCGGUUGCAGAGAGUAGGUCGGUCACCCACUCGACCCCUCUUGAAACACGGACCAAGGAGUUUAACACGUGCGCGAGUCACUGAGUCUUGAACAGGCUCAAAGGGGUAAUGAAAGUGAAGGUCGGCUUUCGCCGUCCGCGUUGGGAUCCGGGGCGCUCCGUCGUCCCGGCGCACCAACGGCUCGUCCGGGCCGCCACGUCGGCCGGUCGAAGCGAGAGCGCACACGUUGAGACCCGAAAGAUGGUGAACUAUGGCUGGGCAGGACGAAGUCAGAGGAAACUCUGAUGGAGGUCCGCAGCGGUUCUGACGUGCAAAUCGAUCGUCAGACCUGGCUAUAGGGGCGAAAGACUAAUCGAACCAUC